GACGAACGCUGGCGGCGUGCCUAAUACAUGCAAGUCGAACGCUUCUUUUUCCACCGGAGCUUGCUCCACCGGAAAAAGAGGAGUGGCGAACGGGUGAGUAACACGUGGGUAACCUGCCCAUCAGAAGGGGAUAACACUUGGAAACAGGUGCUAAUACCGUAUAACAAUCGAAACCGCAUGGUUUUGAUUUGAAAGGCGCUUUCGGGUGUCGCUGAUGGAUGGACCCGCGGUGCAUUAGCUAGUUGGUGAGGUAACGGCUCACCAAGGCCACGAUGCAUAGCCGACCGGAGAGGGUGAUCGGCCACAGUGGGACUGAGACACGGCCCAAACUCCUACGGGAGGCAGCAGUAGGGAAUCUUCGGCAAUGGACGAAAGUCUGACCGAGCAACGCCGCGUGAGUGAAGAAGGUUUUCGGAUCGUAAAACUCUGUUGUUAGAGAAGAACAAGGAUGAGAGUAACUGUUCAUCCCUUGACGGUAUCUAACCAGAAAGCCACGGCUAACUACGUGCCAGCCGCCGCCGUAA
rnacentral:rRNA from 1 species